rnacentral:lncRNA from 1 species
CUCGUGGCUAGUUCAGGCGGAAGGAGCAGUCCUCUGAAGCUUGAGGAGCCUCUAGAACUAUGAGCCCGAGGCCUUCCCCUCUCCCAGAGCGCAGAGGCUUUGAAGGCUACCUCUGGGAAGCCGCUCACCGUCGGAAGCUGCGGGAGCUGAAACUGCGCCAUCGUCACUGUCGGCGGCCAUGACACCGCUCGUCUCCCGCCUGAGUCGUCUGUGGGCCAUCAUGAGGAAGCCACGAGCAGCCGUGGGAAGUGGUCACAGGAAGCAGGCAGCCAGCCAGGAAGGGAGGCAGAAGCAUGCUAAGAACAACAGUCAGGCCAAGCCUUCUGCCUGUGAUGGCCUGGCCAGGCAGCCGGAAGAGGUGGUAUUGCAGGCCUCUGUCUCCUCAUACCAUCUAUUCAGAGACGUAGCUGAAGUCACAGCCUUCCGAGGGAGCCUGCUAAGCUGGUACGACCAAGAGAAACGGGACCUACCAUGGAGAAGACGGGCAGAAGAUGAGAUGGACCUGGACAGGCGGGCAUAUGCUGUGUGGGUCUCAGAGGUCAUGCUGCAGCAGACCCAGGUUGCCACUGUGAUCAACUACUAUACCGGAUGGAUGCAGGUGACUCCAGGGGAGGAAGGGAAGGGUCAUGGGUCAGACCCCAGAUGAGAGCCUCUACUUUGGGGUGGGUGUAGAGAAGGCUUCCUCUACCACCUUCACCCUUGACCUUGUCUCUUUCUGCCUGCCUGUGGCUAUAGAAGUGGCCUACACUGCAGGACCUGGCCAGUGCUUCCCUGGAGGUGAGAGCCACCCUAGGGUAGGGGAAAUAGGAACAAUAGAGGGACUGACGGGUGAUCUCUUUGACCUCUGAUCCUACCCACAGGAGGUGAAUCAACUCUGGGCUGGCCUGGGCUACUAUUCUCGUGGCCGGCGGCUGCAGGAGGGAGCUCGGAAG